AUUGGUUCAGUUCAACAUCCUGUGCCAGAUAAUCACAGUUCAGGAACCAUAACCAAGACUUUGUAAGGGCAGCUUGAUCCUGAAUCACAGUGAAACACAACCUGAUUACCCUGUACCAUCUAAGCCUGGAAUACAACAAAAUUCCAUCAUAUUUAUUUUGGUGCUCGACAUAUUCCCGACAUGGCAAGGAAACUACUUGUUUUGUCAGAAAUACUGACAACUCACACCACUUUCCACAAGACGUGAGAGAACUACCUCAGUGAAAGAUUAGCAUAAAUACUGAUGUACAUAGCUGAAAUUAGGAUAGCAUAAAAUUGUAUUCAUAAGUUAAAUUUAUUUAUUUUCUGGCAUUUCAGUUUGUUGUGUGAAACUCUGACUUCAUUAUAAUAAAACUCUAACCCAGAAAUGAACACUUUUCCUUCUUGUAUUUGAGACUGACAACAGGAAACAUCAAUUUUAAAAUGAAACUAAGAUUUCAUUUGGAUGUGUUCUUUGCUGCAUGCAUAAAGUGGAGAACUUACAUAUUGUCGUUGCAUAGCCCCAAGAGGGUUCACCAUCCUGGUUGCCAGUGUAGACAUCAGCCUCUAUCAUACAGUUUUUUUAUCAUGGACACCUGUUUUCAGUCCCAAUUAAUGGUUGAAGUGGCACUGGAGCUAGUUUCCCUCAAAAUUCCUCCCAUGCACAUUACCAUGCCACAAUUUCUUCAUUACCAGCUGUAACUUCACCAUGAGGCAUGUAAUACAUUCGACCAAGCAGCACAUUAUCAUGCCGCCAAUCCCAAAUUAGGGGUUACAUCUCUGACAGGCACUUGACUGGUCUCUGAAUAAAGGCAGUUUAUGUGUGAGUGUCUUUUAUAGCAACAUUUUCAGUGUCGGACCCCAUGUCCAGUAUUCCGAAAUUCGGAAGGAUCUAAAAUCCAUAUUUUUUCCCGGUGAACUUUUGCGGCAGUAUUUUAUUAGUUUUACGCGUUUAAAACUAGUGCUUCGUGGUUCCUCGAUUCACUACCACGUGUGAGUGGCGCCAUUGUCGGCGGUCUUCUUACCGUAAAGAUUGUGGUGACAGGGAAACAGCGGGAGAGUUGUAAGUUAGUGUGGUGUCAUCCCGACGGAAAAUGAGUGAUAGGCUGUUGGAACAACGCACUAACAUCAAGUUUUGUGCAAAAUUGGGCAAAAGCGCUAGUGAAACUGUACAGAUGUUAACAGAGGUUUAUGGUGUGGAUGCUAUGAAAUAGUCGAGUGUCUUUGAGUGGCAUGAAAGGUUUAAAGAGGGUAGGGAAGACUUGGAAGACAACGAAAGAACUGGAUGUCCGAGAACUCGCUGAAAAUGUGGAAAAAGUGCGGACAUUGGUUCGUUCUGACAGACGAUUAAGUGUACGAAUGAUGGCAGAAGAACUAAAAUUAGAUAGAGAAACUGUGAGGAAGAUUUUGAGUGGAGAUUUGGGAUUGAGGAAAUGGAAAUAGAAAAAAAAAUUCAUAAAUAUCUGCCAAACUGAAGUUUUCUGAAAAUAGUGGUCUCAUAAAGUUUGCUAGUGUGUCAUCAAAAGCCUUCAAACCAUACUUUUACGUAAAAUAUUUACAAGCCACAAUAAAGUAUGCAGUGUUGACUUAGUAAUAAAAAAUUUUUUUAUCAAUUUUUGACAGGUCAGAAAUGUAACCCUAUUUAAUUGUCAUGGUAUUCACUGAAACACACUAUCAAACUAGGUAAUGCAGUUAUAACUGUAGGUAUACUUACAGCAGAAUGUAGCCAGAUACAUAGUAAGCCUCCGUGGACAGUAUUCCCACGGCAACAGUUGUAAUACAAGUAAGUGGUGAUCAAAAAGUCAAGCAACCAUAUUCAAAUAUUUGUUGUUAGCUGCAAUUAAAUACAAUUCUGUUUCAUGUGCAGAACUGUCUUGCGUGUUAGAAUUACAUUAUCCUAUGAGUAAAGUAUAAAUGUUGAAGUUCAGUGUUAUGUAAUUUUAUCCAUUCCUCUUAUAGUGUAUCAUCUUGGAUCCAGAUAUUAUCCAUAGUAAUUUGCACACAUUAUUUUAAGUGCCAGAUCUUCCUUCAAACUAAGAGAUAUAAUCUGUAAUUAUAUGGAACAGUAGGUGUUGCUGUGUCAGCAGUAUGGGACUGAAAUUUCUGUGUUUGGUUUCGACCUUGAAUGCUUAAUUGAGUAGUCAUUUUGUUUCUCGAGGUUGACAUUCUUGAAAAUACUUUGAAGUUCUCCUUAGAGAGGAAAUUGGUAAAAAUGAUGAAUACUUAGAUAUCAGCUGUUAAAAUUGUCCAACAAACAUUGUCACUGAAUAAAACAAAAACAGGUGGUAUAAUAUUAUGUGCAUGUUGUGCAUACAAUAAAGAAUGUGUUAUCAUUGAAGAAGUAGCAAACAGGCAGCAUUAUUUCAAAUUCAAUGACAGUUACAUCCAUAAAAGAAUUCUAGGCUUUCACAGUAGUCUGCAGCUAGUCUUACUUAUGUGAUGGCAUUUUCUUGAAAAUAGAAGUAGAAACUAGAGUCUUCAAAAUGUCAACAAAUCAGUCCCCUACAACAUGUGAAGAAUGGAAACAUUAUUUCAGUUGUAUUUAUUUGGUGAUGGAUCUGUAAGAAAAUAUAGUUUUAUUAACCUUUAA